rnacentral:rRNA from 1 species
CAGCCGUAAACUAUGCGCGUUAGGUGUAUCGGUGACCACGAGUCACCGAGGUGCCGAAGGGAAACCGUGAAACGUGCCGCCUGGGAAGUACGGUCGCAAGGCUGAAACUUAAAGGAAUUGGCGGGGGAGCACCACGAACGGGUGGAGCCUGCGGUUUAAUUGGACUCAACGUCCGGACAACUCACCGGGGACGACAGCAAUAUGUAGGCCAGGCUGAAGACCUUGCCUGAAUCGCUGAGAGGAGGUGCAUGGCGUAGACGUCU